UGAAUCCCCAACUGUACUGAGAACAGACAGACCUACGGAGGCAGCAGUGAGGAUAUGUCAUGGCGCAAGCUGACAGCAUCCCGCGCGACGAGGAAGCGCUAUGCGUGUAAACUCUUUGCAGGGGAAUAAAAUUUGUACGUGUACGGAAUGAAAGGUACCUGGGAAUAAGCAUCGGCUAACUCCGUGCCAGCAGCCGCGGUAAUACGGAGGAUGCGAGCGUUAUCCGGGAUUUAUUGGGUUUAAAGGGUGCGUAGGCGGACUAAUAAGUCAGUGGUGAAAACCUGCAGCUUAACUGUAGAACUGCCAUUGAUACUGUUGGUCUUGAGUGUGGUCAAGGUAGGCGGAAUGUGUAAUGUAGCGGUGAAAUGCUUAGAUAUUACACAGAACACCGAUUGCGAAGGCAGCUUGCUGGGCCAUUACUGACGCUGAUGCACGAAAGCGUGGGGAUCGAACAGGAUUAGAUACCCUGGUAGUCCACGCCGUAAACGAUGAUCACUCGCUGUUGGCGAUACACAGUCAGCGGCUAAGCAAAAGCAUUAAGUGAUCCACCUGGGGAGUACGGCCGCAAGGCUGAAACUCAAAGGAAUUGACGGGGGCCCGCACAAGCGGAGGAACAUGUGGUUUAAUUCGAUGAUACGCGAGGAACCUUACCUGGGC
rnacentral:rRNA from 1 species